rnacentral:rRNA from 1 species
UACGUAGGGUGCGAGCGUUGUCCGGAAUUAUUGGGCGUAAAGAGCUUGUAGGCGGCCAUACAGGUCAGCUGUGAAAACUCGAGGCUCAACCUCGAGACGUCGGUUGAAACCGUAUGGCUAGAGUCCGGAAGAGGAGAGUGGAAUUCCCGGUGUAGCGGUGAAAUGCGCAGAUAUCGGGAAGAACACCUAUGGCGAAGGCAGCUCUCUGGGACGGUACUGACGCUGAGACGCGAAAGCGUGGGGAGCGAACAGG